rnacentral:misc_RNA from 1 species
GAGGAAUUAAGCCUAAUGGAACGCAGGAAUUUUGCUAAUGUUGGUGUUGAAUUUAUGUCUGAGAUUGCAAAUUCUUCUGAAGAAUAGGCUCUAAAAAGCCAGACAGCUACCGUUGUUGCUGAGCUUCUAAGCACUUUCCUCUUGAAUGCUGUGUAAGCUGUGUCUUGUUAGCAGUCCAGAACUCAUGUUUGUGCUCUUAUACAGAUUGUUAGAAGAGAAGGCAUA